rnacentral:rRNA from 1 species
UCGGGUUUUUAUAUCUGGUUCCCCAAAAAAUAAAUUUAAUUUACACUAAAAAUUUUUCUAUUUUUAGUGCUAGAAAGUUAGGGUAGAUCUUAACUUUCAAAAAAGAAAAAUCUAUAAGAUUAAACUCAUAAAUAAAUUAAUUUAAAUAAGCUUUAAUAGUAGCUAAUUUUUCACAGUGUUUUAACUGAAAUUAAUCUGUUCGAUUAUUUAUGUAUCUUUAGAAAAGAAUUAUUGAGGAAUUUAUUUUAACUUAUACAAUAAAGGUAUUAUAAGACUAUCAGUAAAAUUUUGUGUUAAUUUAAAUAUUUUUUUAGAAAAUAAAAUUUUUAUUAGAUUAAGCAAUUUAAUUAAAGAACUCGGCAAAAACUAUUCUCGCCUGUUUAACAAAAACAUGUCCAAAUGAAGAAAUAUUUGGUCUGACCUGCCCGGUGAAAUUAUUUAACGGCCGCGGUAUUUCUGACUGUGCCAAGGUAGCAU